UGUCCUUUUGAAUAUAAUUUAAGGUCUAAUCUGCCCACUGAAAUAUUUUAAAUGGCCGCGGUAUACUGACCGUGCAAAGGUAGCAUAAUAAUUAGUUUCUUAAUUAGAAGCUGGAAUGAAAGAUUGAAUGAGAAAAUAACUGUCUCAAUUUAAUUUUUUUAGAAUUUUAUUUUUAAGUUAAAAAGCUUAAAUAUAAUUAAAAGACGAGAAGACCCUAUAGAGUUUGAUUUUAUUGUUAAAUAAAAUUUUAUUGAUUAUAAUUUUUUUAUUUAAUAAUAGAAUUUUGUUGGGGUGACAAAAAAAUUUAAUUAACUUUUUUUAUAUAAAAACAUUAAUAAAUGAAUAUUUGAUCCAAUAAUUUUGAUUAAAAGAUUAAAUUACCUUAGGGAUAACAGCGUAAUUUUUUUUAAGAGUUCUUAUCGAAAAAAAAGAUUGCGACCUCGAUGUUGGAUUAAAGUUUAAUUUUGGUGUAGAAGCUAAAAAUUUAGGUCUGUUCGACCUUUAAAACUUU
rnacentral:rRNA from 1 species